rnacentral:rRNA from 1 species
GAUGAACGCUAGCGGCAGGCCUAACACAUGCAAGUCGAGGGGUAGAGGAAGCUUGCUUCCUUGAGACCGGCGCACGGGUGCGUAACGCGUAUGCAACCUACCUUUUACAGGGGAAUAGCCCAGAGAAAUUUGGAUUAAUGGCCCCCAUGGUAUAAUCGGAUGGCAUCAUUUGAUUAUAAAGUUCCAACGGUAAAGAUGGGCAUGCGUCCUAUUAGCUAGAUGGUAAGGUAACGGCUUACCAUGGCUACGAUA